GAUGCUUACCAAGAAUGGAAUCAGAUUCAGUGUUCAAAAGCAGCAAAAUGGGAAUGAUUGUGGCGUGUUUGUAGUUGGAUAUGCCGAAUGUUUACUCAAGAAUGGGAAUCUUGCAGAUUGGAAAGUUAAAGGCAGAUCACAACUUCUCAAAAUAAUUAAAAAAGUAAACUUUUGUGAACUAUCAAUGUAAAGAUAAAAGUUGAUGUCGUGAUGUGUUCAUAAAUGAACAACAAAAAUAAAACAUGCAUGCCAAUUCUUUGAAACUGUAGUAAAAAAAGAAUUCAGAAAUAAACUUUUUAGAACUAACUCUGUGGUAAACUUUCAUUGGGUUCACAAUAAAACUUGGAAUUCUAGGAUAUUGUGAGCUUACUUAAAAUAUGUACAAAAACUUUGUCCCAAAUAUGUACAGUGUAUUAUAUGUUAUUCAGGUCUCAGACAGGGUAUAUACUGUGACAUUCCUGGCUUUAGAGUUUAUAUCCCCUGAGCCGAAUAUAAAAAUAUUUCAUUUGUGUAGUUUUUCAAUAGAUUUUGGCAAUAUACUUAACACUUUUGUCAUGUAUUAUGCUUAUUCAAAUUGCCUUCCUGUUUGCUUUAAAAUUCAAUUCACUUGGUUUCAGUUAGCUUACGUGUUAAAAAACCAAACUGAUAUUAUUUUCAUUGAAGUCUUUAAACAAGCUAAUUCAGUUAACUGAUGAAACAAAAGUACAUAUAUAUAUUACUAGGCUACUCUUUAUUCUUAUCAGAAUUUUAUUAUAUCUAAAAAAUACAUCAACUAAGAUACAUAAUUAUUCUUUUCCUCAAAGAAUUUUUUUUCU